GGGGGUAUAGCUCAGUUGGUAGAGCAGUUGACUCUUAAUCAAUUGGUCCUAGGUUCGAGUCCUAGUGCCCCCACCA
rnacentral:tRNA from 28 species